rnacentral:lncRNA from 1 species
AAAUCAAGCAUGAAAAACCACAUAUUAUUCAUGAACCCUCCAUGGCUGAAUUUUUCCAAGAGAAAAUGUUGAGGAUGAUUUUGCUAUAAUUCAUGUUAUCUAGCUUAUAUUUGAUGAUUUGGAGUAUUGGAAGUGAAAUGAAUUUAUUUGGAGUUGAAUUGGAUAUUUUGGCCAUUUAAUCGGCGUAUAGUGUGAAUAAGGUCAAUACCAUUUCAGCCCCAUACACAAUUGAACCUACGUAGAACACCGUAUUUAGAUAUUAAUCCGAACAUUUCACAUCCCAUUUCAUGCAUUCAUGUAGAGUCUAAAUUAGUUUUAUAACGGUUUAGCACAAAUAUAGUAAAUUGCUUGUUGUGCAUUAUGUCUAGGUGGUGAAACUUCCGAUAAGGGUAAGGAGAUUGUACCCGAAGAUCGGGAUUAGGAGUACCUCGAUUCUCGAUAUUGUGAGUAACCUUAUUAUCGUCUUAAUUAUCUAAAGUAGUUUUUAUUCGUUUUUGUGAUUUUAUAGAAAAUGAGUUUAAAUGGUAAAUCCUUAUGUUUUAUAAGUAAAACGUGAUUAAAUGAAAUGAGUUUUAUAAAUCAUUUUGAAAUUGAAUGAUGAUUUUAGAAAUUGAGUAAUUAGAGAUUGUUUGUUUGUGUUGUAAAUUUAUGGUUUGAAUUGAAUGGCUUAUGGUGAUAUUGGCAUGAAUGGCUGAAUUGGAAAUUGUGUUGAAAUUGUAUGAACUGUUUGUUUUGCCUUAACAGGCUGGAUAGUAAUAUAAUUGCCAUGUCAUACUGUCGAAACUUUUAUUGAUUUGGUGGGAUAUUAAUUAGUCACUGUAGUGGCGGGUUUCCGUGGACCAGCCCAUUAGAGAGGGGCACGGUGAACCUAGUUAUAUUUUACCUUGGUACGAGAGGCGCGGAGGGUAUCUCCUGAGGUAAAGCUUUAGAGUUCACUUCACGUCAAACCAUCAUGUGAGGGUGAACUCAGCCAACGCCAAGGAACGACUAUGUUUUAAAAUGUACAAAUACAAUUUAUGGAUAUAUAUCUUUUCUUUAACAGCCUUGGCGGACUCGGUUGGAUGCCUCUUAUCAAGGUAUCCCAGAGAAUGAGUUUUGGCACGAGCCAAGUUUUUAAAAAAUUCAUAAGCCAUGUUGAUUAUUUGAGUGAAAUGAAUUUAUUUUAUUUAGUUGAAAUGAGUUUAAAACGUUAUGAAUCACAGUACGAUGAACUAUUUUAAGUUGUCUCCAUUUACCCGACUUUAGAUAUUUUAGAUGAUGUUUGUUUACUCACUGAGUUUAUAUAAACUCACCACCCUCCUUUCCACUCAUUCCAGGCUCAGGACAGUCAGUAAAUAGCUGAUUACGUCAAGGGUUAUUAUUGGACUCGCCUCCUAAAAAAUUGUUGGUCCACAGCCUUUGUUACCUUUGGUCAUUCGGAGACCCACACGUCAUUGUAAAUUAAAUUACAUACUCUGGUUAUCUGUGUUACCGUAUAUAUGAAUUUAUUUUGCUUUUACGCAGUAAAAAUUAUUCACGUAUCGUUUUAUAAAUAUUGUUUUAUAAGAAAAUAGAAUAUUUUAUUCAAUAUUUUUAUUUUAUUCUAUUAGCUACGAUUUCACUCUAAAUGAAUGUUUUAGACAUAGAAACUUGUUUUUAGUUAUGAAAUGUGUAUUGUCCUCCAUGUGUUAUAUUUUCAGCAGGUUUCAAAAUUUUUGAGAAAAAUGACCAAAAUGCCCCUGUGAGACAGAAAGUAUGUUUUUUAUUAUUGUUUCGAUUUGGAAAUAGCUUAUAAUCUUUUAAAAUAUGAUGUUUAGUAAUUAUUGCUCACAGGGGAGGUGCGAAAACUGAUAUUAAGCCUUGCGAGGUUUCGAUUUUCGAGUAAUGAAUGUCUAUUGGGACAUCACGGCGGUUGUCACUGGCUCGAAGGGAGUACUGGGUCAUGACAAUUUGAAUGGUACAAGAUGAGGUGCUAAAAACUAUUACAAAGAUUAGAGUGGAACACAAGAAGAAUGGAGAGGAUUUUCGCUACGUUGGGCUCUUUUUGUUCUUGGAAGCAUCUCAUAUCCUUCUUAGCCAUUGAAGAUGUCUUUUAUACUUGAGAAAUCAACUUUGAUGGAUGGUGAUAGCUUUUGUCUGUUGGAAACAGUUUAAAAUCCUUUCUAGUCGUUAGUUGGUCUUCAAACAUUCAAAAUCAAAUUUCUGACAGUGAGCUUUUAGUUGGUUAACAAUACUUCUUAGUCAAUUAUGUCUUCUUUAUCUCACAGUUUGUUUUACUUCGUUAAUCGGUUAAGAAAGACUUUAACUGAUUAAGAGCUUACUGUUUCUGGAGCAACGAACUUCACCAACUUUUCUUUGUUUGAAUGAUUCUUCUUUUAGCUUGUUAACACUGAUCUUCCUUUACCUUUAUUCUUCGCAAAUGACUGCCUUCUCUUUAGAUCUUCACUUUUGGAUUUUAGUUGACUAACUCCCUUGGUUAACCGAUUAAAAGGCUUUUCCUUGUAAUUCAUUUUAUGACUUUUUGUUCUGAUGAGUUUUGA